AAACACCACUGAUCCUGCCCAAACCCUGUUACCACGCUGCAAAUAAAUAAAUGCAAUGGUCUAGAAGCAUCUGUUGGGGGUCAGCUGCCCACUAACCCAGUAACCUUUAAUUCUUACUUCAGCUUCAGGUAAUGAAGGGCAUCCUCCCAUCCUUGGAGGUAUGGGAGACUACCGAUUUCUGCUCCUGCAGCAGUUUGGAGAGGGGACAGCACUGCCAGACCUGCCUGCCACUCAUACCUCCUGCUUUUCCAACCAGCAUCUUGCUCAUCCAGCUGCAAAUCAGAGUUGCUCUGCCAAAGAAGAGUAAUGUGCAGCAGGCUCUUUAGAAUUUCUGCUGCACAUUUCAAACCGUAUUCUGCUUUUUGUGUGGAGAAGCAACGUGUUUUCUCCAGUAAAAGAGGAUGCCCUUUGCAAAAGAUCCAUUUUCACUUCUUGAGGAAGAAUUUCUUCACUGAAGGGGCUGUCAAGCAUUGAACAGAUUGCCUAGAGAAGUGAUGGAGUCACCAUUCAUGGAAGCAUUCAAGAAAUUACUGGAAAAGAGCAAAAAGUGACAUAGCUUUGUUGACAACGUGGUGUUCAGUCAAAAGGCUGAACUCUAUGAUCUUAGAGGUCUUUUUAAACCUUAAUGAUUCUCUGAUUUUAUACUAUGAUCCCCUGUCUCUUUUCUUGAACUCUUAUCCCAAAUCAUACCAGGGGUCAGUAUUUUGCCUCCUUGUCAUCAGCAUUAACUUCAGCAUUCAGCCUGGCCUCCCUUAUCAGCUUUCAUGUCAAACACUGGUGUAGAUGCCUGAUAAAAACAGGGGACUUCGUGUUUUUAAAAUGAAGCUGGUUCCUAAAACAACUAAAUGUAGCUGCCAUUCCCACCCCAUUGCCUUCUCUGAACAUUUCACACCUGUUGUCCCUGCUCUCUCCUUCUCCCAUCAGUACAUCCCUUGUACCUCCCUGGUGGUCUUGGCACGAUAUCAGUUCAUGUGCAAGUAAAAAUAAGCAAGCUGUGUGACAAAAGAUACUCAUGGCUGUAUGUCAAUUUUAUUUUGCUGUUUGCUUUCCUAUUCUUUAAGAGGGAAAGGGAGUCAGAAUUACCCUGGCCAGGAAUGUGAGGUUUAAAAAGCACUUGCUUUUCAGAGGGACAUAGCUAUUCCUGUAUAGUUUAUGGCUUUGCCAUUGCUCUAGAAGCACUCUGGCACCACAGCCUUCUCCUGUUCAUGCCCCUUGUUCCAUAAUCUGCAUACUUUAAGCCUUUCAGCACACAUCAUGUGUGAAUUACCAAUCCAGCACCAGAAGUUCACAGAAGGGACUAUGUAUCUCAGCAAAACUGCUUUCUUUUUUCCCUCUUGGAAAAAACAUAGCUAGCUAUAUCCUAUCCAAUAUCCUUUUCAACGUGGCGUGCAUAUCACAUAGAGAAAGCUAGGCCAUUCCUUGGGUGAACAGGAUUUUAUGGAACAGAGCUAGAUGAUUCUUAUGAAUCAGUAAGAGUAACAAGAUGGAAAAAAAUGAAGUCCCAUUCAAGUUAUCUGUUGGGAGGAAAAGGGUGAAUCAACAUUGACAAUGUAUUCAUCUUAAUGAGGACAAAUAUUUAUACCAAAUAAAAUUUACAUAUCAGAAAAUGCAAGAGAGGCAUAUAAUUAACAAAAGGCAAGGGAAUUGGCAUAACACUGAUAAAUGCUUCAUUAAUAAAAUAACUAUUUUAAAAUGUCAAAAUGAGUAUAUUUUAUUCAUAAAUUGUGUAGAAUUUAGCACACUAAUUAAAAAAAGACAUAGACUUCAUAGAUAUUUACAUGGCAAUUAAAUCC